UAUGUUUCCAGCAAUGGUUAGAAUAAUCACCACAGCUGUCAACAAAGCAGACCAGUUUUUUUCCUGGAGAUGAAGUAAGGAGAAGCAUGGUGGUGAGAGACAGCCCUCACAGGAAAGGGCAGCCAGAGCACGACUGGUUUGUUGGGAGGAUAUAAAGGUCCGCCUUCCUUGCCUCAAGGCUGGAUGAUGUGGAAGGGCCAUCCUGUUACCAGAGUUUCCAUGGGAUCUGCCCAGGUCUUCGUUGAGACUGCAUCACAGUUCAUCUCCUCCCUCUGCCUAGUCCUGCCUUCCUCGCUCCCCUGCAGAAACUUUUUACUGCUUUUGUGUUUCCUGUUGGGCUGGCUGAGAAAAGGGGCCACUCAAAAUGGCGGACACCCAAGAUGGCCGAGUCUCCCGCCAGAACUUCUGCAGCAGCCACGUCAACCCCAGUAAUCCGAAACGUAAGCGGGAAACUGAAACCCAUCCUACUGACUUUCCUCACCCCCGAGCAGUACCCAAUAAAACCCUGCCACGACUCUCCAAGAAAGACUUUCCCCACCCCCAGCGGUGCCCAAUAAAAACCCUCGCUGCCCUGCCCUGGGCAUGACGUCCCCGACUCCCCCCUCCGGAGUCGCGGCACCUCACCCGAGGGUGCACACAAUAAAGUUCCUCCUAAAGGACACCCUCGCUGCCCUGCCCUGGGCGCGACUUCCCUGACUCAACGCUCUUUCCCGAGUCGCGGAACCUCGCCCAAGGGUGCUUGUAAUAAAGCUCAUCCUCUGGACCACGUUUGCCUUUGCG